ACUUUGCAAAAGGGCACUGAAACCAUCUUCUUAUAUUUACAGUUUAGAGAUGCAUUUAUGGUCACCUCUGAAGCACAGAUUCGUCUAACAUCCGCACGUGUCGGUGUUCGACACGUAUCUGACUCGGAUACACUCAAAUUUGUAAAGGACACGUAUCCGUAGAGUAUCCAAAAAUUAAAAAAAUAAAAUAAAAUAAAUAAAUAUCAAG
rnacentral:lncRNA from 1 species